rnacentral:rRNA from 1 species
GUAGGUGGCAAGCGUUGUCCGGAAUUAUUGGGCGUAAAGCGCGCGCAGGCGGUUCUUUAAGUCUGAUGUGAAAGCCCACGGCUCAACCGUGGAGGGUCAUUGGAAACUGGAGAACUUGAGUACAGAAGAGGAAAGCGGAAUUCCACGUGUAGCGGUGAAAUGCGUAGAGAUGUGGAGGAACACCAGUGGCGAAGACGGCUUUCUGGUCUGUAACUGACGCUGAGGCGCGAAAGCGUGGGGAGCAAACAGGAUUAGAUACCCUGGUAGUCCACGCCGUAAACGAUGAGUGCUAAGUGUUAGGGGGUUUCCGCCCCCCUUAGUGCUGCAGCUAACGCAUUAAGCACUCCGCCUGGGAGUACGGCCGCAAGGCUG